AACGAACGCUGGCGGCAUGCCUAACACAUGCCAGUCGAACGAGACCUUCGGGUCUAGUGGCGCACGGGUGCGUAACGCGUGGGAACCUGCCUUUAGGUUCGGAAUAACUCAGAGAAAUUUGAGCUAAUACCGGAUGAUGUCUUCGGACCAAAGAUUUAUCGCCUUUAGAUGGGCCCGCGUUGGAUUAGCUAGUUGGUGGGGUAAAGGCCUACCAAGGCGACGAUCCAUAGCUGGUCUGAGAGGAUGAUCAGCCACACUGGGACUGAGACACGGCCCAGACUCCUACGGGAGGCAGCAGUGGGGAAUAUUGGACAAUGGGCGAAAGCCUGAUCCAGCAAUGCCACGUGAGUGAUGAAGGCCUUAGGGUUGUAAAGCUCUUUUACCCGAGAUGAUAAUGACAGUAUCGGGAGAAUAAGCGCCGGCUAACUCCGUG
rnacentral:rRNA from 1 species